rnacentral:rRNA from 1 species
AAAGAAAGUGGGCGGCAUGCCUAACACAUGCAAGUCGAACGAGACCUUCGGGUCUAGUGGCGCACGGGUGCGUAACGCGUGGGAACCUGCCCUUAGGUUCGGAAUAACUCCCCGAAAGGGGUGCUAAUACCGGAUAAUGUCUUCGGACCAAAGAUUUAUCGCCUUUGGAUGGGCCCGCGUUGGAUUAGCUAGUUGGUAGGGUAAAAGCCUACCAAGGCGACGAUCCAUAGCUGGUCUGAGAGGAUGAUCAGCCACACUGGGACUGAGACACGGCCCAGACUCCUACGGGAGGCAGCAGUGGGGAAUAUUGGACAAUGGGCGAAAGCCUGAUCCAGCAAUGCCGCGUGAGUGAUGAAGGCCUUAGGGUUGUAAAGCUCUUUUACCCGGGAUGAUAAUGACAGUACCGGGAGAAUAAGCUCCGGCUAACUCCGUG